AGUUCGCUACGCGCAGCGCGGGGAGUGAGACCCCACACUUAAACAUUAGAAAGGGUAGCUCAAUAUUGUUUCUGUUAAUCACUCUAAAUAUCAAUCUAAAAUUAAAUAUUUAUCACAGUCAUUUGAGAGGAGAUUUCAAGAUUUCGAGAGUAAAAAACAAAAUGUACAAAUUUUUAUAAAUCCUUUCAUAAUAAGUUAGUUAUUCUACCUAACCUAACCUAGCCAAUAUUCAAUUAGAACUUGUUGAACUGCAAAAUCAUGAUACGUCGACAAGAUUUCGCAGAUUUCUGGAAAUUGGUACCAAAAGGAGAAUAUCCAGCAAUAACUGACCUGGAGUUGCAGAUUUUAAGUAGUUUGGAUUAACUGGCCCGUCGUUAACGACUGAAUCCACCGUUUGGCCCGACUCUUCAAAAGGUUGAGCAGCCCUGAUCUAGCCGGAGUCAAAGAGUCAAACAAUGUAAUUGUGAAUGUAAAAAGUGAGUUUAGUAAAAUGCUCUAUGAAGUAAAGUGAUAUUUAUAUAGAAAUAUUGAAAACAAUAUCGAAUUGUCUAAGAUAGUAUCUACAAAAAAUGUUAUUGUUAAUUAUAAAGAUGUUAAUGAGCUUGCAAUUAUUAUAUAAUUAGCAGAAGUAGAGGAAGCUAAAAGAAACAGCACAAAUAAACUUUUCUUAUUAUAGGAAACUUACGCGUUUCAGGAACAAUCAAAAGUUCUUUACAAUAAUCAAGACAAUAUUGAUAUGAUUUGAAAUUGUUGAAAUUGCCUCCGCAGCCGGAGUAAAUAAAAGCUAUACAUUCUCCUUUGGUAUCAUUGAAAUACCAACGCUUGUGUUGGUACAUGUUGCAAGAACCUUGAUCUACUGGUAAUCUGCACAAUACUGUGGACACAUAAUGUUAAACACAAACAUGCAAAAGUCUGUUAGCUGACUAUAUCGUUAGUUAAACUACAAAGAAUACGACACCAAAAAAAUUUAUCCAAGAUGUUACUUCAAGAGAAAACUAUCAUUAAAAAAAAUCUUGAUUUGAAAUAUAAAUAUCUGUACUUCUAAUAACUCUUCUUAUAAUUUUUAACUUUUCUAUGUCGUUAAUUCAAAUAAACAAGAGACUAGAGCAACUGGGAGAUUAAUCAACGCAAUCAAGACACAGUUUCUAGCCAAAAAAAUGGUGCUAAAUAUUGACAAAGCUGUGUAGAAGAGAUAACUGGAUAACAUCUGAGAUGAGUAAACAUAGAGAUAUUACCAAUUAAGUAGGCAUGCCUACAAGUGAGAGCAUCUUGCGAAUGAAAAGAAACUCAUUUAUGUAUUUCAAUCUCUUUUUUUGUUGCGUACUGCGCAUGCGUGUCUCUGAUUCAACGAUAAAGUGCGAUAAAGUAACCUGUAUGUCUGUAAAUAUAUCACAGGCCUACAAUGAUUUUGGUGCCACUAAAAGUAAAACAGAUUUCAAGUACGUUCGGUACCCUGAUAAAAAAAUUGAUACUUACUUUUUUAAUAAAUCAUUAUUUUACAGGUUAGAAGCACCUCUUUUUAGAUUUUCUCCGGUGGAUGUCUUCAAGACAUUCCCGUGUAAUACUCCAACAGUAAUCUGCCAUCAUAUGCUCAUCCCAGCGACCUUGGUAUCUAUCUUCCAUCACCUUUAAAUCUUGAUGGAAACGUUCUCCUUGUUCUUCGCUAUACGCUCCAAGAUUUUCAGGAAAUUUGUCUAAAUUAUUGUCCAGAUAGUGGCUCAUAUUCUUAUUCAUAAUUUUUUGUAAUUUUCGGCCUUCUGAUUUCCUAGAAAAUUUUUUACAGCAGCAACAAAAGAUUUCCAAGCCUCUGCUUCUAAAUCAUUCAUUGAAUGAAUGAAAUCGUUGUCUUUCAUUGAAAGUCUAAUCUGUGGACAAUCAAAAUUACCAGCUUUCAGUUUUUCAUUACUUAAACCAGGAAACUUUUUUGAAAGAUAUACAAUCCACGGACUAGUUUUAUCUAACGCCUUAACAAAUUGCUUCAUAAGUCCUAAUUUGAUGUGCAAUGGAGGCAAAAUAAUAAUCUUAUCUCUACAAACUAAAGGUGGGUUUAUAAUAUUUUGUUUGCCAACCGUCAUGUUAUUUCUCAAAGUCCAAUCUUUCUUGAUCCAGAGAUCUUUCUUUGCCCUGCUGUCCCAUAAACAUAUAAAGCAUGGAAAUUUAGUGUACCCACUCUGUUGACCUAAUAGAAAGUUCACCAUUUUUAAAUCGACACAUAUAGCCCAUUGGUGCUCCGAGUACUGAAGUUUUUUUAAAACAAGAUCCACGUUUUGAUACUCCUCUUUUAAUUUCGUUGAAUGAGCAAUAGGCACAGCUGCAUGUUUAUUACCAAUAUCUAGUAAAACACAUUUUAAACUUGGCUUAGAGCUGUUCAUAAACAAUCUCCAUUCUUCAGCUUUGUACCGUGAGAAUCCCAAGUUCAUUAGAAGGCCAAAAAUAGAAGAAAUUCUUUUUCGCGAUCACGAUAGAAUGUUAUUUUAGUACCUUGAGAUAACAAAUUUCUUUCUUCGAGUCUAGAUGCUAGUAGCUCAGAUCGCUCUUUCGAAAGGUCAAGGUCUCUAAUUAAAUCCCUUAAAGCAUCUUGAGAAAAAAGUGAAGGCUCUGUUGUCACUUCAAAUCACUAUCACUGUCACGUUCAUCAAAAAAAAAACUUCCAGCAUCUCUGUGUCCGACAAAUCUGAAAGAUUUUGACUCAUAGAAAAACCUCAAAACAGUCGAGGUCUUUUAGCACUCGGUAAAUCAGGAUAUGUCAUUUUUCUUUUGUUUAUACCAUGUAAUUCUACAACACAAAAACAACAGCUGUCAUCAAUGUGAUUUUUCGGUUCUGUCCAAAUCAUCGGCACACUAUACUUUCAAUUAUUACGUUUACCGUUUGCCCAAUGUCUUAAAUGUUCACUACACAACUUGCACACAAUGUUUGGAACCCACGGUUUGUCCAGAGCUUUCAUCUCUAUAUUAAAGUAUGUGUUCGUCACUGCAUCUGUUAUAGAUUUUCUAAACUUUUUCACUACAUAUUUACCACAAAUAUAACAAAAUGUAUUUGGAUUAUUCGAUAUUAUCAUUUAAAAAAAGAAAUUAAUUAACUACAAUGACAUUAAGUAUAUUAAAAUACAUUUUUUAGGUUAUGAUCGAUCGAUACAAACCUGAACGUAGCUUCGCGAUUUUGACAGUUUACCACGACGUCUUGCGGAAAAUUAACCAAAUUAUAACAUAGAAUUAGCGGCACCAAACAAAACAAUUUUUUGUAGACCUGUGAUAUAAUAUUUGCCCAAUGUAAAUAAUGUGAUAAAGAUUAUUAAACAUUUGUUGUCGAA